ensembl:piRNA 21ur-89 ncRNA
UAGUAUAUUGACCUAGUAAAU